rnacentral:rRNA from 1 species
UACGUAGGGGGCUAGCGUUGUUCGGAAUUACUGGGCGUAAAGUGCACGUAGGCGGACAUUUAAGUCAGGGGUGAAAUCCCAGAGCUCAACUCUGGAACUGCCUUUGAUACUGGGUGUCUUGAGUAUGGAAGAGGUGAGUGGAAUUCCGAGUGUAGAGGUGAAAUUCGUAGAUAUUCGGAGGAACACCAGUGGCGAAGGCGGCUCACUGGUCCAUUACUGACGCUGAGGUGCGAAAGCGUGGGGAGCAAACAGG